rnacentral:lncRNA from 1 species
GCCCAGAGCAAGGCCUUUCUCCCAGUCAGUCCUUGGAGAUAUCCAGAAGACAGCAUGGGGAAAGAGAAGGAGUUCUGGAAAGAGGUGGAGUUCCUGCAAGGACUGGGUUUCAGGCCUCUGACAUCCAUCAUAAGCCUCAGCCAGCUGGGACCUACAGAGCCUUUAGUGACAGCAAAAGGAAUCAUGGCUCACGGACUGAAAAGCAUCUCUACUGCAUAUUCACCAGUACCAAGGGCAGCCGACAUCCCCAGAGCUGUGGGGAGGCUGUUUGCUUGGGUUACACAUUUCCUGGAAGCCUGACCAGCAUCAGUCCCUCCAGUCAGUGGUCCUUUGGAAGAAAAAACAGCAGUGGCCUCUAGGACCAAGUCACAAAUAAAUAAAUAAAAUCUACUGCUUUGAAUCA